rnacentral:lncRNA from 1 species
CACCACUGUAUCAGAUACACACUCCUUCCCUUUUUCCUAAAGCCUGUUUGUCCCUGUCUCUUGGUAACUCUUCAGUUCCCAGAGAGCAGAGACUCUUGGGAAACAGGAAGUAGCAAAAAGCCUGUGAGAAAAUCCCCAGAUGAAGAUCAGCAAUAAUCUCUCCAGACAACAGUUUGGUCAGAUGAGGGAAAUUCCCCACCAGCCCUCAAAAACAGUCCCUCAAGAAAGCUUAGAGAAGGUUAAUUUGGGAAAUCCCCUCAGAGGCAACAGAACAGCAAUGGAAAUAUACUUCUUCAGAGGAAUCUAAACAGAGAAUGUUGGUCCCUGGGGAGAAAUGCAGAUAUUGGAUGAGUGCACUCCAGCUGGGAAGAACGCUAUUUAUCUUUCAUGAUGAGGAGCUGAGAAGGGUACUAGCCAUUGGCGAACUCCCAGGAGCGAAGCAGAUGCGGUGGAGAGCAUGGAGAAUGGCACAUCUAAUUAUUACAACCUACUGCCUUCUGCAACUCCGUCAGACAUCACCAUGGACCUUUUUAUUCCCUACGUUGUUAAUAACCAUUUUUAUGCCUUCACUAUUUUCCAUUAACUUAUUGUUUGUGGAAAUAAAUUCCCUGGUCAUAAUAACAAGAUAAACAAAUAAAAAUGGCAGACAUUUUUCUACUGACUGGAGC